GCAGUUGCCGUCAUCGAUAUCAAUUCCGAUAAACCAUUAGUAGAAUCCAAAAAGGUCCUCAAAGGGAAAAAUUACGAUUGAAACACAAAAAGGCCGAACACACCAAGAUUUUAUUUUUCACAUGAUAUGAUAACAUGCUUUGUUAUUGUUUUGCUUUCAAUUUUCCCCUCCUAGGAAACACUAUCCCUCCUCUUUUGAAAAAUUUCAAAGGCCAACCAAUCAGAGUUGCAAAGACUUAAUUUCGGUGCACAGCGCCCUCCCUAUUGGUCCAAUCGCUAAAUAGGGGAGCUGAGGUGAUGGUGUUGUUGUUGGUUCGUGGAUCGGGUUUGAGGUUGUGUCACUGAUAAGGGAGUUGAUAAUAAUUAAUGAAAUUGGUGUGAGGAAAAUGUAAGUUUGAUUGCAGUAGCCAAGCAUGUCAGCGAAGGAUGGCAAGACGUUUGAAAAGCUGCGGCAAUUUUUCCGCCUAAACAAAGGUGGAACGGGACUUGCCAGACCUGAGAAAGAUUAUAUCUUAACACCAGAAGUAAUAAAGGAGCUGAGUGAUGAAACACCUAUCAACCAGAGACUCAAAACAAUCAGUGCGCUCACUGACGUAGUAUCCAGCCACCGUCUUGAAGAUGUAAGUGUUUCCUUGCCAAUGUGCAUAUCUUGUUUAUGAAACAUGAAUGGAAAGAAACUCACCUGCCCCUCGUAUAAGCAAAUCUCAAAUUUAAGACAUUAUCGAUCAAAAGGUUUUUCCUUUGAACAUCAUAAAAAAUGCUGAUAAGCAAUAAUUGAAAGUCUUAAAUUUUGCAGAAAGAAACCAAUAUUUAAUCAUUCUGCCGUAUCAAAUUCGUAAGGGAUGAUUUUAAAUUUUGAAGUUGUGGUGGAUCCUCUUAUUUUCUUUUAAUUUUUCUCAAGUCAUUUUUAACAUCGUAGAUAUUAAGGAUUAGUUAAAACCCCACCGCAAAAUAGAAAUCUUUCCUGUAUCUUCUAGGUAUCGUUAAAUCCUAAGGUUUGCUUGUUGUUUACAGGGCUGAACAAUUAGGUUGUAU
rnacentral:lncRNA from 1 species